CACACAUGCGAGUUUUUGCUGGCUUGAGAACAAGCAAGGAAAAAGACAAAUCCCACCUACCCUAGCCUAAAAUACACAGUGAGUCUCAGAACCCCGCGGAAGCUGUGGCUCAUUUCUAAAGGUGCUGGCAAUAUCGAGGAAGACUUGUAUCCACAAAAUUCCAAAUGAGAGUAAACUUGAAGCCUGAAAUUGCAGCACUCAUUUGGUGACCAGGAGUGGGCAAACAGAAGGACAAAGGCCUACAAGAUUAAAUAAUCAAGUCAUUAUUGUGAAUUUGGAUCUAAAUGACCUGGCAGAAACCAUGGAGAUGAUCUUGGAUUUAAAGAGGAAAAACUCAAAGCAAUGUAUUCUGAUCAAGAAAUGGCAGGAAAUGGCAGCUACCUGAUAUGGAACAAUCAACAACUGAAGGUUUAUUUUGAAUGAGAGGUGUUGUCCAACUGCGAGACGGAGUGAUUGAAGCUGAGAAUAAAUGGAAACACAAUCAAUAGUCACUCCAGUGAGGUAGGAAAGAAAGCCAUUCCGAAGUGGCAGAGAAGCUGCUUUUUCCUCCUGCAUGCUGCCUGCUAGUGUGGAUCUUGGCAUAACAGACACUACUUGGCAAAAGAUCCAUCCUUCCUUUUCCUAUACUUUGCUCAGCGGCCUGGAAGAUUGACCUCAAAAGCAAAAUCACCUGGAUUUCCUUGCCAUUUGGCUUUCAAAUGUGCUCAGCCAAUGACAGGCUGGAAAGAAAUUGACAGCUGGGAAAAGAGGAAGAUUUGUGUACAAGAUCCCUUCCACUCCCAUCUCAUUACCUGCCAUGGUCCUAGCAGUGGCUGUUCUUAUUAUGGCCACAACUACUCUUGGACAGGCCAACAUCCACAACUCCAUCCUUCAACUAGGCUUCAUUAACACUGUCCCUCACCCUUAUCUCUUUCUGGGUAGGGGUGAUAAAGGUUUCCUGACAUCAGAGUUCCUGAGUGCCUCAUAUAUUCUUGUUGGUCCCUGAACCUUGCCCCAACAUCAAUAAAAAGUUCCUUCAUUAAAUAA
rnacentral:lncRNA from 1 species